AAAUGAAAAAGUUCAGUUUAGGGUUUAAAACCCUAACGCUGACUAAAAAGAAAGUUCAGUUUAGGGUUUAAAACUCUAAUGCUGACUGAAUGGAAAAAGUUCAGUUUAGGGUUUAACAACCUAAUGCUGACUGAAGGAAAGAGUUAAGUUUAAGGUUUAAAACCCUAAUGCUGAUUGAAUGGAAAAAGUUCAGUUUAGGGUUUAAAACCCUAAUGCUGAUUGAAAUGAAAAAGUUCAGUUUAGGGU
rnacentral:lncRNA from 1 species